rnacentral:tRNA from 1 species
CGCGUCGUAGCUCAACUGGGAGAGCAUCGAGAAUUCUCUGGUUCAAAAACUUCGUCAGCCCCUUCUUUACGUACAUUCCCGACUGCCGAAUUGGAGUCCAUGGAUCAUGACCCCGGAGGUUGCGGGUUCGAGUCCCGCCGGCGCUA